CUCAGCCUCGGGGCGCAGCAGUGAGGAAUAUUGGUCAAUGGUCGGGAGACUGAACCAGCCAAGCCGCGUGAGGGAGGAAGGUACAGAGUAUCGUAAACCUCUUUUGUCAGGGAACAAAGGCGGGGACGUGUCCCCGGAUGAGUGUACCUGAAGAAAAAGCAUCGGCUAACUCCGUGCCGGCAGCCGCGGUAAUACGGAGGAUGCGAGCGUUAUCCGGAUUUAUUGGGUUUAAAGGGUGCGCAGGCGGUCUGUUAAGUCAGCGGUCAAAGCCCGGGGCUCAACCCCGGCCCGCCGUUUGAACCGGG
rnacentral:rRNA from 1 species